UACGGGGGGGGGGCAAGCGUUGUUCGGAAUUACUGGGCGUAAAGGGCGCGUAGGCGGCUUGGUCAGUCCCGUGUGAAAUCCCUCGGCUCAACUGAGGAACUGCACGGGAAACUGCCUGGCUUGAGUUCGGGAGAGGGAAGCGGAAUUCCGGGUGUAGCGGUGAAAUGCGUAGAUAUCCGGAGGAACACCGGUGGCGAAGGCGGCUUCCUGGACCGACACUGACGCUGAGGCGCGAAAGCUAGGGGAGCAAACGGG
rnacentral:rRNA from 1 species